UUCUAGCCUCUGGUUCAGCAUCUGGAGCCUAGCACUUCAUCAACACACUGUGUAUCGUGACUCUCUCUGACUGGACUCUACACCUAGCGACACAGCUUGGGCUGUGAGAGGUGGGGUUCACUCUUGGGUCUCUUAUCCCUGCUUCAUAGAUCACAAUGCUGUGGCUCAGAGAGGACAACCGCUUACAGAAUCUGCCCAAUAUAGCCCUUGAAUGAAAACUCCUUUCCAAAGGUGAAUUUCUUUAAUUUCUAAGAAGCUCAUCUAGACAGAGCAGCCAGCAAGCCUGAGAUGGCCUUGGAAGUUUAAACUCAAGGCACAGAAGAAGAUGAGGGAAGGAAGGAGAAAUGAAAGAACCCAAAGCUACUGACAAGGGACCAUCGGAAUUCAGAAGUCAACUGCCAAUGCUGCUAACUUGUUUAUUCUGAUCUCCAUUAAGGAAACUUAUUUCUUUCUGGCAUUCAACUUUCCACCCACAGCUUGCAAGCCCUGGUUCUUCGGUUACACUUCUCAACACAUUCGUCCAGCUACCCAAUAAACGCCCCCU